UUGAAAAAAAAGUAUCUGAAUCUGAAUCAACCGGCUGUGGGUAUAUUAACUACUAUCAAAACUGAAAACCAGUAUUUAGAUUUUUUUAACAACUAUUGUAUUUUUGCCCAUUUUAUUUGCUAUAGCGUAAGACGAAAUCCGAAUCUACUCAUUCAUAAAUUUUUGGAUCGAAUGCCACAUCUGUUAUUGCGAAUAGCUCCAAUACCGCUUAUAAGGUUUGUAGCAACUACAUUUAUUGUUACAGAUCUUACCGAAACAAGGUUGCCACAACAAAGUUUAUUCCGUGGUCUAUUGAGAUAAAGUUCUGUGAGCCAAGUAAUUCAACCAAUUACGACAAACGUCCUGCAAGGCCAAUCAUUUAAACGGAUGCAUAAAUAAGCUUCUUCUUUAGUUAUUAUUAUUAGUUUUUUAAUUUUGUCAUCGCAGUUUGAGGUACUGGUUUAAAGGAAAACUCUCAGAUGAUGAGGCUUUGCAUAGAUGCGUUGCAGCAUACACUUCAGAUCUCAUAUUUUUAAAUGUCAGUUUGUAUCCUCACCGUGCAAAGGGCUUAAAGACGACUUCUAUUAGCUUGGAUCACUCGUAAGCAUUCUGGAACUUUAACCAUGGAAACUGACUGUUAUACAUAUUUCUAAGUGUAGUGCUUGUUUGGAUGGAUCUAGUUGAGAAAUGUGAGUUUCAUACUUUCAUUGAUUUCAUAUUUGUGAUGUAAUUACUCGAAAAACAAUCUAUCAUACAAGAUUAUCACUAAUCAAUGGAGAUGCUAAGUUUUUGGGAA